UACGUAGGGACCGAGCGUUGUCCGGAAUCAUUGGGCGUAAAGAGCGUGUAGGCGGCCACUUAAGUCCUGCGUGAAAUCUUGCGGCUCAACCGCAAGCGGUCGUGGGAAACUGGGCGGCUAGAGUGCGGGAGAGGAGAGUGGAAUUCCUGGUGUAGCGGUGGAAUGCGCAGAUAUCAGGAAGAACACCCGUGGCGAAGGCGGCUCUCUGGAACGCAACUGACGCUGAGACGCGAAAGCGUGGGGAGCAAACAGG
rnacentral:rRNA from 1 species